rnacentral:tRNA from 1 species
UAGCUCAGCGGUAGAGCACUCGGCUUUUAACCGAUUGGUCCUGAGUUCGAAUCUC